rnacentral:rRNA from 1 species
GAUGAACGCUGGCGGCGUGCCUAACACAUGCAAGUCGAGCGGACAGACGAGGCUUUUGCUCCUCUUACGUUAGCGGCGGACGGGUGAGUCACACGAGUAUAACCUACCUAUAAGACUGAGAUCACUUCGCGAGAGCGGAUACAACACCGGAUAAUAUAUUGAACCGCGUGGUUCAAUGGAGAAAGACGGAUUUGCUGUCCCUAAUAGAUGGUUCCGGGCCGGAUUAGCUAGGUGGUACGGUAACGGCCUACCAAGGCUACGAUGCGUAGCCGAUCGGUGAGGGGGAUCGGCCACACUGGAACUGAGACAGGGUCCAGACUCCUGCGGGAGGCAGCAGUAGGGAAUCUUACGCAAUGGGCGAAAGCCUGACGGAGCAACGCCGCGUGAGUGAUGAAGGUCUUCGGAUCGUAAAACUCUGUUAUUAGGGAAGAACAAAUGUGUAAGUAACUAUGCACGUCUUGACGGUACCUAAUCAGAAAGCCACGGCUAACUACGUG